AGAGGAUUAGUUUAAUAAAAACACUUAACUUCGACUUAAGAAAAUUCAAAAGAAACUAUGAAAUCCUCUU
rnacentral:tRNA from 1 species